rnacentral:rRNA from 1 species
UCCUGACUGACCGAUAGUGAACCAGUACCGUGAGGGAAAGGCGAAAAGAACCCCGGCGAGGGGAGUGAAAAAGAACCUGAAACCGUGUACGUACAAGCAGUGGGAGCACGCUUAGGCGUGUGACUGCGUACCUUUUGUAUAAUGGGUCAGCGACUUAUAUUCUGUAGCAAGGUUAACCGAAUAGGGGAGCCGAAGGGAAACCGAGUCUUAACUGGGCGUUAAGUUGCAGGGUAUAGACCCGAAACCCGGUGAUCUAGCCAUGGGCAGGUUGAAGGUUGGGUAACACUAACUGGAGGACCGAACCGACUAAUGUUGAAAAAUUAGCGGAUGACUUGUGGCUGGGGGUGAAAGGCCAAUCAAACCGGGAGAUAGCUGGUUCUCCCCGAAAGCUAUUUAGGUAGCGCCUCGUGAAUUCAUCUCCGGGGGUAGAGCACUGUUUCGGCAAGGGGGUCAUCCCGACUUACCAACCCGAUGCAAACUGCGAAUACCGGAGAAUGUUAUCACGGGAGACACACGGCGGGUGCUAACGUCCGUCGUGAAGAGGGAAACAACCCAGACCGCCAGCUAAGGUCCCAAAGUCAUGGUUAAGUGGGAAACGAUGUGGGAAGGCCCAGACAGCCAGGAUGUUGGCUUAGAAGCAGCCAUCAUUUAAAGAAAGCGUAAUAGCUCACUGGUCGAGUCGGCCUGCGCGGAAGAUGUAACGGGGCUAAACCAUGCACCGAAGCUGCGGCAGCGAUGCUUAUGCGUUGUUGGGUAGGGGAGCGUUCUGUAAGCCUGCGAAGGUGUGCUGUGAGGCAUGCUGGAGGUAUCAGAAGUGCGAAUGCUGACAUAAGUAACGAUAAAGCGGGUGAAAAGCCCGCUCGCCGGAAGACCAAGGGUUCCUGUCCAACGUUAAUCGGGGCAGGGUGAGUCGACCCCUAAGGCGAGGCCGAAAGGCGUAGUCGAUGGGAAACAGGUUAAUAUUCCUGUACUUGGU